ACGCUAGCGACGGCCUAACACAUGCAAGUCGAGGGGCAGCACGGUGUAGCAAUACACGGGUGGCGACCGGCGCACGGGUGAGUAACGCGUAUGCAACCUGCCUACUACAAGGGGAUAACCCGUUGAAAGACGGACUAAUACCCUAUAACACAGGGAAUCCGCAUGGAUAUAUUUGUUAAAGAUUUAUCGGUAGUAGAUGGGCAUGCGUUCCAUUAGCUUGUUGGUGAGGUAACGGCUCACCAAGGCAACGAUGGAUAGGGGAACUGAGAGGUUGAUCCCCCACACUGGAACUGAGACACGGUCCAGACUCCUACGGGAGGCAGCAGUGAGGAAUAUUGGUCAAUGGACGAGAGUCUGAACCAGCCAAGUCGCGUGAAGGAAGACGGCCCUACGGGUUGUAAACUUCUUUUGUAAGGGAAUAAAUAGUCUUACGCGCUAAGACGUUGCAGGUACCUUACGAAUAAGGAUCGGCUAACUCCGUGCCAGUAGCCGCGGUAAUACGGAGGAUCCGAGCGUUAUCCGGAUUUAUUGGGUUUAAAGGGUGCGCAGGCGGCAUGUUAAGUCGGCGGUGAAAUUUUGCAGCUCAACUGUAAAAGAGCCUUCGAAACUGGCAAGCUUGAGUGUGGAUGAAGUAGGCGGAAUUUGUGGUGUAGCGGUGAAAUGCAUAGAUAUCACAAAGAACACCGAUUGCGCAGGCAGCUUACUAAACCAUAACUGACGCUCAUGCACGAAGGCGUGGGGAUCAAACAGGAUUAGAUAC
rnacentral:rRNA from 1 species